CCGAUUCUACGGGGCUUGAGCGUGCUGCUCGCUGCUAGAUGCCACAAGAUGGCUGGAAAGACUUGCGCUUCUCUUCCGGCGCGAUAGACAUCCGGGACUUUGAGUGCAAAGUCGUAUGGGAUAUGUAGUCGCACAACAUGACAGCCAUUUUUGGAGACAGAGCGAGAGAGUCUGCUUCACGGAUGGAGUUGGGAAGUUUGUUUCACCACCGAAGUACAGUGAAUCCGAAAGCCCGGGAAAGUGAUAUGGUAAGUACCAUAAAACAGAAAACUUUUUCCAAUAGACAAAUUGAUUUUCAAUGAUAAUUUGUUAUAAACCUUUAAAGACAGACCUGCAGUGGACUCCGAGGUAUACACUGGUGUUCAUCAAUGGUAUACACUGAUCAGCUAAAACAUUAAAACAACUGACAGGUGAAGUAAAUAACAUUUAUUAUCUCAUUACAAUGGCACCUGUCAAGGGGUUGGAUAUAUUAGGCAGCAAGUGAACAGUCAGUUCUUGAAUUUCAUGUGUUGGAAGUAGGAAAAAUGGGCAAGUGUAAGGAUCUUAGCGACUUUGACAAGGGUCAAAUUGUGAUGGCUAGACGACUGGGUCAGUGCAUCUCCAAAACAGCAGGUCUUGUGGGAUGUUCCCGGUGUGCAGUAGUCCUAAAAAAAGUGGUCCAAAGAAGGACAACAGGUGAACCGGCGACAGGGUCAUUGGCACCCAAGGCUCUUUGAUGCGUGUGGGGAGCGAAGGCUAGCCCGUCUGGUCCGAUCCCACAGAAAAGCUACUGUAGCACAAACUGCUGAAAAACGUAAUGCUGGCUAUGACAGAAAGGUUUCAGAACACACAGUGUAUCGCAGCUUGCUGCAUAUGGGGCUGCGUAGCUGUAGACCGGUCAGAGUGCUCAUGCUGACCACUGUCCACUGCCGAAAGUGCCUACAAUGGGCAUGUGAGCGUUAGAACUGGACCAUAGUGCAAUGGAAGAAGGUGGCCUGGUCUGAUGAAUCACGAUUUCUUUUAGAUCAUGUGGACAGCCAUGUGCGUGUGCAUCGUUUACCUGGGGAAGAGAUGGCAGCAGGAUGCACUAUGGGAAGAAGUCAGGCCGGCGGAGGCAGUGUGAUGUACUAGGCAAUAUUCUGCUGGUAAACCUUGGGUGCUGGCAUUCAUGUGGAUGUUACUUUGACAUGUACCACCUACCUAAAGAUUGUUGCAGACCACGUACAUCCCUUCAUGGCAACAGUAUUCUCUGAUGGCAGUGGUCUUUUUCAGCAGGAUAAUGCACCCUGCCACACUGCAAAAAUUGUUCAGGAAUGGUUUGAGGAACAUGACAAAGUUCAAGGUGUUGUCUUGGCCUCCAAAUUCCCCAGAUCUCAAUCCGAUUGAGCAUCUAUGGGAUGUGCUGGACCAACAAGUCCGAUCCAUGGAGGCCCCACCUUGCAACUUACAAGAUUUAAAGGAUCUGCUGCUAACGUCUUGGUGCCAGAUACCACAGGACACAUUCAGAGGUCUUGUGGAGUCCAUACCUCGACGGGUCAGAGCUGUUUUGGUGGCACGAGGGGACCUGCACGAUAUUAGGUAGGUGGUUUUAAUGUUGUGGCUGAUUGGUGUAUGCCUUUGUUGAAGCCAUCAGUCUGCAUUAUUUCAGCAUCAUUGUCUAAAAAUCGUGUUUAAAAGUGGAAUUCCUGGUGAACAACUACACUACCCAUGGAGCAGCAUAGACAGGUCUACCAGUAUAAAUUAAAUUUAUUUAUACAGCUAGUGCUUUUAAUAAUACAUGCUGUUUUAUAGUUGCUUUACAGAGAACAUUCAACUUUUGUGUACAAUGUUUAUAAUGUAUGUCCAAAUAAAUAUGUUUAUUUGUAUUGCAUGUAGUUCUUUUUGUACAAUACAGUUUAUUGUGUUGCUGCUAAGACAUCGUAUUUCCUACACAAGAAUAAUAAAUUCACUCUUUCAACAGGAUCUGUUGUUCAGUCAACACUAAAACAUUUCAUGAAGGAUAUAGCAUUUAGAUACGGAUAUUAUGUAUAUAAACUAACAAUUGUGCCACAGGGAUCAGUUUUAGGCCCUCUCCUUGUAUAGGCUUUUCUCCUUGUAUAUGCUUUCCCUGGGAGAUAUUAUCAGGAAUCGUGGAAUAAGUUUCCACUGUUAUGCCGACGAUACCCAAUUUUAUAUUUCUUCAAAACCUGAUGAGAUUUCACAAUUCUCCAAAUUAGCAGAGUGUAUCAAUGAAAUAAAAGAUUGGAUUGCCAGAAAUUUCCUUCUACUCAAUUCCGACAAAACAGAGGUACUAAUUAUUGGACCACAAACCUCUAAAAACAAGCCGCUAAAAUAUAAUUUGACUCUCGAUGAAUGUACUGUUACAUCGUCUUCAACACUGAAGAACUUAGGUGUUAUAUUUGAUACCAAUCUGUCCUUUGAAAAUCAAAUUACCAAUGUUUGUAGAACAGCAUUCUUCUACCUAAGAAAUAUUGCUAAAUUACGACACAUGCUCUCUGUUGCUGAUGCCGAAAUACUAAUUCAUGUGUUCAUGACCUCAAGACUAGAUUAUUGUAAUGCAUUACUGGAUGUCCAGCAAGAUCAAUAAAUAAACGUCAAUUGGUUCAAAAUGCAGCAGCCAGAGUGCUGAACCAAGAAAUAUGAUCAUAUUAUCCCCAUUUUAUCAUCAUUACAUUGGCUACCUGUUAAAUUUCAUAUUAAUUUUAAAAUUCUGUUCACUACGUGCAAAGCUUUGAAUGGGCUAGCUCCACAGUACUUAAGUGACCUUCUACCACACUAUAUUCCAUCACGUUCAUUAUGAUCGCAAAAUUCUUGCCUGUUAAUAGUUCCUAGAAUAUCAAAAUCCACAAAAGGAGGUAGAUCCAUUUCAUAUUUGGCUCCUAAACUAUGGAAUAGUCUCCCUAACACUGUUCGAGAUGCAGACACACUCAGUUUAAGUGUAGACUAAAGACUCACCUAUUUAGCCAGGCAUACACGUAAUUUAUCCUUCAACUCAAAAUUAGGCUGCUUUAGUUAGGUCUGCUGGAGCCAGAAACCAGAAACAUUGAUCGUAUGAUCUAUAACUCUGCAAUAAAUUGAAUGGCAUCUAUGCUAAUAUUAUUUUAUUUGUUUCCCUGUCUCAACCUCGGGACUCCUAUUCUGAGAUCACCAGAACUGGCUGGAUCCAGCUCCAUUCCUGCUUCGUGUUGGACUCCACUGCUACAUGUCGCUGAGUGAUGAUGACUAAUAGCAGCCAGUGCCAGCCAAACAUCACUUCAGUCUAUUACGAUGGACUUCAGAGGAUGAACUGAUGCCAACUCCAUCCAUAAGACAUGGGAUACCAGAUAUGCCAUUGCCUGAACCUUGGACUUGGAAUAGACUUCACCGAAAUUACCGGCCAGGUUGAACUGCGAUGCACCUAACUGAUCUCUGCCUACAUCACCUUGGUCUAACGAUGGAUUACACUCUUGAAAUGGAAUACAUAGACUAUCAAUUAAUUGUCAACAAAACCCUUCAUCAGCCAACUAACAAGGACAAUUGCCUCUAUGUGAACUUCUGCAGUUAAUCCAGGAUGGACUUCAAAGACGUUAGUCAUUAAUCUUACAGUUCAUACAAAAUCUUUGUUUAAACACUGACCCUUAACACUUACUUAGAUUAAUAAUUUUAAACCAUGACUUGCACUAUACAUAACUAAUAUUGGCAUUAUAUUCAUGAUGUUAGCCAGAGGGGAACUGGCCCCCACAGUGAGCCUGGUUUCUCCCAAGGUUAUUUUUCUCCAUUAACCAACAUCUUAUGGAGUUUUGUGUUCCUUGCCACAGUCGCCUUCGGCUUGCUCACUUGGGUUAUAAAUACAAUUAUUAUUUAAUUACUUAUUUUUAAACACAAUUCACAGUCGUAUUUUAUCAAACUACACAAUGAUGACUCUAAGACAUUAUAGAUAUUACAGUUUCAUUUUCUGUUAAUGCAUGAUCUUCUGUAAAGCUGCUUUGAAACGAUGUGUGUUGUGAAAGCGCUAUACAAAUAACAAUGACUUGACAAUUUUAAAGCUAGAUUGAGCUCAUCUCCAACAAAAUAAUUGUAUUUUAUCUGAAAAACAGCAGCAUGACAGUCUCAUCGCCUGAAUCCUGUAAUACACGAGCAUCCUGAUGUCUGGACCUCCCAUGUAUCUGCACUGUAAAGGCUACAUAGCUUUUCAGGUUAGUCUGCUCAGGUUCUUCCAUCGAUGGAUAAAGACUCAACAAAAUAACUAAAAUGCUUCUAUUCGCGAUAUUUGGCCAUCAUCCUCAAACCCAUAAUCAUUAACAGAUAGGUGGGGAUAAUAUAAUUUUGUGAUUAGUUGUUCUCAAAUUUCUGUCAUUUUUAAUGCUGCGUUAGUACAUAACAUAACGAUUGUUUACGCUUAACCGGCAGUUCAGCCCACAUCGGCCACAAAGCAUCAUGGGACUCAGGAAUAUUGUGGAUAGAAGGGCCACUUCUAUUCAAAUGAAUGGGAGAAACUGGAACGCCCAACCAAGGAGCUCUAGCACCCAACGGAUGUAGAAUGGAAGCCCCACCUUACAGGUUAAAGAGCCAAUCAACUUUCAGAUACAGACAUAACAUGUCAUCAAUUAAAUGUAUUUGUACAGCUAGUGCUUUUAAUAAUACAUACUGUUUUAUAGUUGCUUUACAGAGAACAUUGAACUUCUAUGUACACAAAAGCUGUUUUUGAGAUUUCGGUGUUCCCCCAUUCAAGUAGAUAGGAGCUGCACUGGCAUGACUGGAAAUAGCCUCCCAAGAGCAUUCCAAAGAUGGCCGACAGUGGACUGACUUGCUAGAAAGACUUUAAGUCAUUAAACAUGUUAUGCUUAUAUACAUUCAAAUAUUAAUAUAUGUGAAAGUAUAUGAUUAAAAGUUUUAUGACAUUUCUAACUAAUUAAACGUACACACUGAUUAAUGAUCUGUUAAGCAUUAAAUAUAAUGUAAUGUUUGUUAAUAUUUUUAAUCACAGUUGUUAAAAGGUGUUGUUACCUGUUUGUUUAGUAAUCAAUUCAAAUAUCGUGCCAUGCAAAGUUAAAAAAUCGCGACCUUUAUUCGAAAAGUGCAGAACACUGCGUGAACUCUGCAUAACAACAACAAACCCAGGGAGGGGCAGUUGAAACCCAAACGCCAGGUAGAGGGCUGAAGGGGGCGAAUGUGAUUUAUAAGCAGACAUUCAGGUAGGCUAUAUCACCAUAUAAUCACACGUUUGUUUGCGUUAACAGUGUAUUUAUUUGCACAAAUGCUAGUCUUGCACAUAACAGAGAUGCCAAAUGUGUACUUUUGUGGCAACCCAAACUGCAACAGACACAGAGUGUGAUGCAAAGCUUUUCACAAGCCUCCUUGCAUCAGAUCUUUGCAGAUCCUGGAGAUAUUCAGACAACUAGUCUGACAUAUUCGCAAAUUUUGGCCAGCUCCGAACGUAUGGGUCAACUGACACACAGAUGUUACAUCGCUUUGUCUUAUAUUGUAGAUUAAUAUUUUCAAGUUUCAUGAGAACAGCUCACAGUAUUUCCAGUCUCAUUAGUGUACGUAGCUAUUAUUAGCAAUUUAUCUGAAUAUUGUAGGCUACAACUGCAUGCAUAGAGUAACCAGAGAACUCCAGCUUCAGGGCAAAGGUAAGAUUGACAAAUCAGUGUGUUGUAUUAUGAGUGCUGUCAAAGCCUGAUGUGAUAAUAUGCCCUUCAAAGCAAGUUAAGGCACCUGAUGGGUUAAAUCCAUUUGGGAAACAGUUAGUGUUCAUGUUACAUAUAUUAAAGCUUAUUAUACUGUGAUUACUAUAUUAAUAACAAUGUGUUUUACUCCAUUCUGCUGUCUUUGUGACCAAACAUCACUUGGUGAGACACAGAUCAAUAUUUUAGUCUUUUUUUUUUUAACCAUAAAUCUACACUUUCACUUUUUAAAAAUGUGAUAGUUGAAUUGGCGAUUUGUAGUAAAAAAUAAAUAAUAAUAACUUAAAUAUUGAUCUGUUUCUCACCCACACCUAUCAUAUCGCUUCUGAAGAUAUGGAUUUAACCACUGGAGUCUUAUGGAUUACUUUUAUGUGGCCUUUAUAUGAUUUUUGGAGCUUCAAAGGUAUGGUCACCAUUCACUUGCAUUGUAAGGACCAACAGAGCGGAGAUAUACUUUUAAAAAUCAUUGUAUGUGUUCUGCAGAAUACAGAAGGUCAUACACAUCUGGGAUGGCAUGAGGACAGACACGUCGGACAGGGGGUUGGGGGCUGUACUAUCCCAGGUAGUGGAGGGGGAGGAGCACCCCAUGCUGUACAUUAGUCAGAAGCUCUCGGUGCGAGAGACGAAGUACAGCAUGAUAGACAAAGAGUGCCUGGCCAACAAAUGGGCGGCCCUCACCCUCCGGUACUACCUGCUUGGGAGGGCCUUCAACCUAUGUUCGUGUCACGCCACGCUCCAAUGACUCCACCGCAUGAAGGAUACCAACGCCCGGAUCACUUGUUAAUAUCUUGCACUUCAGCCCUUUAAAUUUGAGGUGGUCCAAGGGGGGAGUCGGUAGCAGGCUGAACGUGAGCUGUGACGGAUAAAAGGGGAGGAGACGGCAGUGGACGAGAGAGAGAGUCGUGCUUGAACCGCCAGUGUGUGUGCCUGUGUGCAGAGUGUGUUGCUGAAAAAGCAACAAGAUUAACCUACGAUUAAAGGACUGUUUCAUUGGAACGCAGUCCGCUGUCUCCCGCUUCUUCCUUCCCUGGAACUAAGGGAUUUGUCACUUAUAAUUUUUUAAAUGUCCAUAAAUCACUUUGUGUAUGUAAUGAGGGCCUAUUGUGUACCUUCAAAUGUACAUUUAUAUGUUUUGUUUCUCUGGGAACAAAAAUGAACCUGCACAUUACCUUUUAUCUGACAGUGUGUGGUCCUAUAAAGUUGCAGAAGAUGCGAUUGCAAUUAUUCAAGUUGAUUCUAUAAAUAUUUGGGGUGGUCUUGG